UGCCAUAUCAAUAAGCGGAGGAAAAGAAACCAACAGGGAUUGCCUCAGUAGCGGCGAGUGAAGCGGCAAAAGCUCAAAUUUGAAAUCUGGCGUCUUUGGCGUCCGAGUUGUAAUUUGAAGAAGGUAUCUUUGGGCCCGGCUCUUGUCUAUGUUCCUUGGAACAGGACGUCACAGAGGGUGAGAAUCCCGUGCGAUGAGAGGACCCGGGUCUGUGUAAAGUUCCUUCGACGAGUCGAGUUGUUUGGGAAU
rnacentral:rRNA from 1 species